UACGUAGGGGGCAAGCGUUGUUCGGAAUUACUGGGCGUAAAGGGCGCGUAGGCGGCACAGCAAGUCGGGAGUGAAAGCCCGGGGCUCAACCCCGGAACGGCUUUCGAAACUGCUGAGCUAGAGUACAGAAGGGGCAACCGGAAUUCCCAGUGUAGCGGUGAAAUGCGUAGAUAUUGGGAAGAACACCUGAGGCGAAGGCGGGUUGCUGGGCUGAUACUGACGCUGAGGCGCGAAAGCCCAGGGGAGCAAACGGG
rnacentral:rRNA from 1 species